rnacentral:misc_RNA from 1 species
AGACCAUAAGGCUUUGCCUUGCGUUGAUUGCUCUGGAGUUAUCCAGCGAUCUAAACAUGUUGGCGUCGUAGUUUGACCAAGACACAGCACAAUGUGACACUGGACUCAGACUUAUGACUGCUAUUCAUCAAAAAACACUGUUUUCUCACGAAGACGUAG